rnacentral:rRNA from 1 species
GAUGAACGCUGGCGGCGUGCCUAACACAUGCAAGUCGAGCGAUUUACUUCGGUAAAGAGCGGCGGACGGGUGAGUAACGCGUGGGUAACCUGCCCUGUACACACGGAUAACAUACCGAAAGGUAUGCUAAUACGAGAUAAUAUGCUUUUAUCGCAUGGUAGAAGUAUCAAAGCUUUUGCGGUACAGGAUGGACCCGCGUCUGAUUAGCUAGUUGGUAAGGUAACGGCUUACCAAGGCGACGAUCAGUAGCCGACCUGAGAGGGUGAUCGGCCACAUUGGAACUGAGACACGGUCCAAACUCCUACGGGAGGCAGCAGUGGGGAAUAUUGCACAAUGGGCGAAAGCCUGAUGCAGCAACGCCGUGUGAGCGAUGAAGGCCUUCGGUUGUAAGACGUCUGUCUGGAGGGACGGAAGGAAGUGACGGUACCUCCGGACGGAAGGCCACGGCGUAACUACGUG